rnacentral:tRNA from 2 species
GGCCGUGUGGCUCAAUGGCUAGAGUGCUUGACUACGAUAAUGUAAUCAAGAGGCUGCAGGUUCGAGUCCUGCCUCGGUCA